rnacentral:rRNA from 1 species
UACGAAGGAUCCAAGCGUUGUCCGGAUUUACUGGGUUUAAAGGGUGCGUAGGCGGCCUUUUAAGUCAGUGGUGAAAGCCUGUAGCUUAACUAUAGAAUUGCCAUUGAAACUGAAAGUCUCGAGUGUGGUUGAGGUAACUGGAAUAUAUCAUGUAGCGGUGAAAUGCUUAGAUAUGAUAUAGAACACCAAUUGCGAAGGCAGGUUACUGAGCCAUUACUGACGCUGAGGCACGAAAGCGUGGGGAUCAAACAGU